rnacentral:rRNA from 1 species
AGCGAACGUUUGCGGCGGGCCUAACACAUGCAAGUCGAACGCACUAGCAAUAGUGAGUGGCGCACGGGUGCGUAACACGUGGGUAAUCAACCCUUCAGCUUGGGAUAACGACUUGAAAGGGUCGCUAAUACCGGAUACGGCGCGAGAGGCUUCGGCUUCUCACGAGAAAGCCUCGCAAGGGGCACUGAAGGACGAGCCUGCGGCCCAUCAGCUAGUUGGUGAGGUAAGAGCUCACCAAGGCUAAGACGGGUAGCUGGUCUGAGAGGAUGAUCAGCCACACUGGAACUGAGACACGGUCCAGACUCCUACGGGAGGCAGCAGUGGGGAAUAUUGCGCAAUGGGCGAAAGCCUGACGCAGCCA